AGUGAACGCUGGCGGUAGGCCUAACGCAUGCAAGUCGAACGGCAGCACAGUAAGAGCUUGCUCUUACGGGUGGCGAGUGGCGGACGGGUGAGGAAUACAUCGGAAUCUACUUUUUCGUGGGGGAUAACGUAGGGAAACUUACGCUAAUACCGCAUACGACCUACGGGUGAAAGCAGGGGAUCUUCGGACCUUGCGCGAGUGAAUGAGCCGAUGUCGGAUUAGCUAGUUGGCGGGGUAAAGGCCCACCAAGGCGACGAUCCGUAGCUGGUCUGAGAGGAUGAUCAGCCACACUGGAACUUAGACACGGUCCAGACUCCUACGGGAGGCAGCAGUGGGGAAUAUUGGACAAUGGGCGCAAGCCUGAUCCAGCCAUACCGCGUGGGUGAAGAAGGCCUUCGGGUUGUAAAGCCCUUUUGUUGGGAAAGAAAAGCAGCAGGUUAAUACCCCGCUGUUCUGACGGUACCCAAAGAAUAAGCACCGGCUAACUUCGUG
rnacentral:rRNA from 1 species